rnacentral:rRNA from 1 species
UUCCAGACUCCUACGGGAGGCAGCAGUGGGGAAUAUUGCACAAUGGGGGAAACCCUGAUGCAGCGACGCCGCGUGAGCGAUGAAGUAUUUCGGUAUGUAAAGCUCUAUCAGCAGGGAAGAAAAUGACGGUACCUGACUAAGAAGCCCCGGCUAACUACGUGCCAGCAGCCGCGGUAAUACGUAGGGGGCAAGCGUUAUCCGGAUUUACUGGGUGUAAAGGGAGCGUAGACGGCGGUGCAAGCCAGAUGUGAAAGCCCGGGGCUCAACCCCGGGACUGCUCUUGGAACUGCGUGGCUGGAGUGCAGGAGGGGCAGGCGGAAUUCCUGGUGUAGCGGUGAGAUGCGUAGAUAUCAGGAGGAACACCGGUGGCGAAGGCGGCCUGCUGGACUGCGACUGACGUUGAGGCCCGAAAGCGUGGGGAGCAAACAGGAUUAGAUACCCGGGUAA